UACGUAGGUGGCAAGCGUUAUCCGGAAUUAUUGGGCGUAAAUAGCGCGCAGGUGGUUGAUUAAGUCUGAUGUGAAAGCCCACUGCUUAACCGUGGAGGGUCAUUGGAAACUGGUCGACUUGAGUGCAGAAGAGGGAAGUGGAAUUCCAUGUGUAGCGGUGAAAUGCGUAGAGAUAUGGAGGAACACCAGUGGCGAAGGCGGCUUCCUGGUCUGUAACUGACACUGAGGCGCGAAAGCGUGGGGAGCAAACAGGAUUAGA
rnacentral:rRNA from 1 species